rnacentral:lncRNA from 1 species
GAUCUUACAGCAGAGCUGGAAGCUGUAUCUUCAAAAUAUGUCUGUUUGACUCAAAACAAGGUAUUCAACAGGAGUUAUUAUGUAUGAAAAAAUACAACAGGAAUGUAAAAAACUUGAGGCUAAAAAGAUGUUGGAAGAAGUAAUAUUAAAUCUUAAAAAACGUAUGGAAAGUACACAUUGGUGAAGACACAUUGGUGAAGUACAAAAAUAUAAAUUGGAUCUAGAAGAAAAGGCAAUGCAGGCAAUGGAAAAAUUAGUACAAAUCCCUUUACAGUAAUGAUUCUCAGUGUGGAGUCAUUUGAUUAUUAAGACCCAUUGACAUGAGAUUACAUCCUCUGCCUAUAAAAAUCCUGGAAGAAAACCUAGGAAAUAUUCAUCUGGACAUUGCACUUGGCAAUGAAUUUAUGGCAUGAGAAACUCUCAAGGGAUUGAACAGACAGCCUACAGAAUGGAAGAAAAUAUUCACACACUAUGCAUACAGCAAAGGCCUAUUAUCCAGAAGCCAUAAGAGACUUAUGCAAAUCAACGAGCAAAAAAUAAAUAACCCCAUUAAAAAAUGGGCAAAGAACAUAAACAGACAGUUUUCAGAAGAACACAUAUGUGGCCAACAAACAUAUUAACACAUGCAUACCAUCACUAAUCAUCAGAGAAAUGCAAAACAAAACAGCAGUGAAAUACCAUCUCACACCAGUUAGAAUGACUUCUGUUAAAAAGGAAAAAUAAUAAAAAUAUUUAAAUAUUUAAUAUUAAAAUAUCAUUUAGAUUGAGAUAAA